rnacentral:lncRNA from 1 species
CCUUAAUAUAUGCACCAUGAUUUACUAGGAUGAGAGAUGCUGAUGUUGGAGUGUAUUGAAUGACUAGACAGAGUGCUGAUACUGCCUGUUGGAUAUAAAUUCAUAUGCUUCACAUUUUAAACAAAUAAAGGGCUGCUUUUUUGAGGGGGGUACUUUUAAGGGUUGUAAAUUAUAUACCAUAGUGAGUCACCUGGAUACUCUUCCUACGAAAUGGCUUUAGGGCUGGGGAUGUAAUAAGUUUGCAAAACAAAUGCUUUUACUAUUGUAAUAUUUGGGGGCUUAUUUUAAGAAGUCAGAUAUUUACUGUUUAUGCCUUUUUUUAUAUGGGCAGGUUAAUGCGGGAUGAAUUUAGUUACCCACCUGUGCUAUGCUGAGCAUGGAUAAAAAGUUAAGCAUAUCAUUUUGAGUUUUAUUUUUUUCAUAGUACAGCAGGCUUCCUAGUGUUGAUGUAAAUAUUUGACACAUGUUUAGUACCACCCUUAGUACAUACUGAUUUUUUUUUUGCAUAUCCUUAUAAUACUUCAGUUUUUUAAGACCUUUGGUUGCUUUUUCAGAGUUCAGAUAUAAAAAUGGUGCUAACCGUAGGAUCUAUAACAAGGCUAUAAUAAUGUUCUUUUGGAUGUUCAGUAUGAGAUAUGCAUGACAUGUUUUGAUAGUAUUUUUUCGUUUUUACUGGCUUGGUUCAUUUAUGCUUAUUAAAAAUGUUAGCGAUUAUGCUAAUGUUAACAUCUAAAAAUCGUCUAAAUGGCCCAUGUUAUGCUUUUCAUGGUUCCUGAGUAGUGAUUUAAAGAAAGAUGCACUUUUUAAUCUUUCUUCUUGUACUAGAUAGAUGUCCUUUUUAAAAACAAAUAUAUGCAUUAUAUAUAAAGCACCAGGCAGUUAUGCAUUACUUUGUACAUUUCUUAGGUAAUUGAAUAUUUUAAAGUUACUGAGGAAAACUGGAACUCAAUGUUUACUUGAGUAAUGGUUCUAAAUUUGGUUCUAUUUUGACUGAAGAAACGAGCAAGACUGUUUGCUAUAGCCAGUGACAGCUUAUUUAAAAUAAGUGGUUAUUAGCUCAUUUUGUUUUAGCAUGUUUUAGUAAAUACUUGUUCGUCUUGAACAUAUUACUUUGGAUUUUAUUAGGAUGUCGGUACUUGUAUUUUGGUACUGUAGUUUUUUCUUUUCCUUGAUUUGUUUUUUAACCUGCCUAUUAUCUCUUUAUAGUCUCUGCAAAGCCAAUGUAAAUUUAUUUCCUAAGAAAAAAAUUCAUACUGCAUUCUUAAGUGCCAUAAUAUUCCAAACUACUGUUAAGAAGCCAUUUGUAAUUAUAAAACAUAGGUUCAUUCAUUAACAUAUUUGUUAUUUCUUGGAAACUGUUUAUAGCCUGGCAAUUUGCAGUUUUUCUUGUUCUUCCAUAAACUGCCAAUGUAGAUUUAAAUAUAUAGUACAAAACUAUGUAAAGUCAUCUUAAUCAUGUAAGUAGUAUGCUUUAUGACUAUUUGCACAGAUUAUAAAACCUUGCAAGUGAUUUUUAGUCUCUUCCAAUUAAGAACUCAACAGGAGCUACUAAUAAAAUUGACAGGCUGAGUAUUUUCUAUGUUGCUUGUUUGAAUAACAUGAUAUAUAGCAAUAACUUUUUAAUUGGUUUGAAUAAACCUAUUGAAUAGAAACAAGGUGCACUAUUGUGAUUGGCCUAGACUUUAUUUAAAGAAAAGCAAUUUGAAGUACAUAUUUGAAGUACAUAUUCAUUAUAUAUUUAAUUUUAAUCUUCAACUCAAUUUUUUUUGUUAAUAUCGAAUGCAUUCUAUUAGUACUUUUUAAAUCUCUCUCCCAAAGAUAAAGGAAUUUGAAAGACUAUAGAAAUUUAUUUUAAUUGUAAGCAGAUCUAUGCUAUACAUUUAAA